AGUCGAGGGGCAGCAUGGUCUUAGCUUGCUAAGGCCGAUGGCGACCGGCGCACGGGUGAGUAACACGUAUCCAACCUGCCGUCUACUCUUGGACAGCCUUCUGAAAGGAAGAUUAAUACAAGAUGGCAUCAUGAGUCCGCAUGUUCACAUGAUUAAAGGUAUUCCGGUAGACGAUGGGGAUGCGUUCCAUUAGAUAGUAGGCGGGGUAACGGCCCACCUAGUCUUCGAUGGAUAGGGGUUCUGAGAGGAAGGUCCCCCACAUUGGAACUGAGACACGGUCCAAACUCCUACGGGAGGCAGCAGUGAGGAAUAUUGGUCAAUGGGCGAGAGCCUGAACCAGCCAAGUAGCGUGAAGGAUGACUGCCCUAUGGGUUGUAAACUUCUUUUAUAAAGGAAUAAAGUCGGGUAUGNAUACCCGUUUGCAUGUNCUUUAUGAAUAAGGAUCGGCUAACUCCGUGCCAGCAGCCGCGGUAAUACGGAGGAUCCGAGCGUUAUCCGGAUUUAUUGGGUUUAAAGGGAGCGUAGAUGGAUGUUUAAGUCAGUUGUGAAAGUUUGCGGCUCAACCGUAAAAUUGCAGUUGAUACUGGAUAUCUUGAGUGCAGUUGAGGCAGGCGGAAUUCGUGGUGUAGCGGUGAAAUGCUUAGAUAUCACGAAGAACUCCGAUUGCGAAGGCAGCCUGCUAAGCUGCAACUGACAUUGAGGCUCGAAAGUGUGGGUAUCAAACAGGAUUAGAUACCCUGGUAGUCCACACGGUAAACGAUGAAUACUCGCUGUUUGCGAUAUACGGCAAGCGGCCAAGCGAAAGCGUUAAGUAUUCCACCUGGGGAAGUACGCCGGCAACGGUGAAACUCAAAGGAAUUGACGGGGGCCCGCACAAGCGAAGGAACAUGUGGGUUAAUUCGAUGAUACGCGAGGAACCUUACCCGGGCUUAAAUUGCAGAUGAAUUACGGUGAAAGCCGUAAGCCGCAAGGCAUCUGUGAAGGUGCUGCAUGGUUGUCGUCAGCUCGUGCCGUGAGGUGUCGGCUUAAGUGCCAUAACGAGCGCAACCCUUGUUGUCAGUUACUAACAGGUUCCGCUGAGGACUCUGACAAGACUGCCAUCGUAAGAUGUGAGGAAGGUGGGGAUGACGUCAAAUCAGCACGGCCCUUACGUCCGGGGCUACACACGUGUUACAAUGGGGGGUACAGAGGGCCGCUACCACGCGAGUGGAUGCCAAUCCCAAAAACCUCUCUCAGUUCGGACUGGAGUCUGCAACCCGACUCCACGAAGCUGGAUUCGCUAGUAAUCGCGCAUCAGCCACGGCGCGGUGAAUACGUUCCCGGGCCUUGUACACACCGCCCGUCAAGCCAUGGGAGCCGGGGGUACCUGAAGUGCGUAACCGCGAGGAG
rnacentral:rRNA from 1 species